UACGUAGGGGGCUAGCGUUGUCCGGAAUCAUUGGGCGUAAAGCGCGUGUAGGCGGUCCGGUAAGUCCGCUGUGAAAGUCGGGGGCUCAACCCUCGAAUGCCGGUGGAUACUGUCGGGCUAGAGUGCGGAAGAGGCGAGUGGAAUUCCUGGUGUAGCGGUGAAAUGCGCAGAUAUCAGGAGGAACACCAAUUGCGAAGGCAGCUCGCUGGGACGUUACUGACGCUGAGACGCGAAGGCGUGGGGAGCAAACAGG
rnacentral:rRNA from 1 species